AUGCUCGCUUCAGCACCACAUAUACUAAAAUUGGAAUAAUACAGAGAAAAUUAGCAUGACCCCUAAAAAACAAACAAUAAAUUGACUCAAGAAGAAACUGAAACUAUU